rnacentral:rRNA from 1 species
CCUACGGGCGGCAGCAGUGAGGAAUAUUGGUCAAUGGGCGCGAGCCUGAACCAGCCAAGUCGCGUGAAGGAUGACUGCCCUACGGGUUGUAAACUUCUUUUAUAAAGGAAUAAAGUGAGGCACGUGUGCCUUUUUGUAUGUACUUUAUGAAUAAGGAUCGGCUAACUCCGUGCCAGCAGCCGCGGUAAUACGGAGGAUCCGAGCGUUAUCCGGAUUUAUUGGGUUUAAAGGGAGCGUAGAUGGGUUGUUAAGUCAGUUGUGAAAGUUUGCGGCUCAACCGUAAAAUUGCAAUUGAUACUGGCAGCCUUGAGUACGGUUGAGGUAGGCGGAAUGCGUAGUGUAGCGGUGAAAUGCUUAGAUAUCACGCAGAACUCCGAUUGCGAAGGAAGCUUACUAAGCUGCCACUGACAUUGAUGCUCGAAAGUGUGGGUAUCGAACAGGAUUAGAUACCCUGGUAGUC